ACAUGCCUACAAUAUAGUGUUAAUGCAUUGGAUCCCAUUAGAACUCCGUAGUUAAACACACUCAUGAUAGAGUAGUACUGGGAUGGGUGACUGUCCAGGAAGUCCUAGGCAUAUA
rnacentral:rRNA from 1 species